AUUGAGAUGGCUGAUAAAAGUAAUAAACUGUAAAUUUAUAAAUGAAUAUAAUAAUUCUCUCAACA
rnacentral:tRNA from 2 species